CUCGUAGGCGGUCGCAUACGGCGGUGGUGAAAGCUCCCGGCUCAACUGGGAGAGGCUCACCGCAACGGUGUGACUCGAGGAUGGUAGAGGCAGAUAGAAUUCCUGGUGUAGCGGUGAAAUGCGUAGAGAUCAGGAGGAAUACCCGUGGCGAAGGCGGUCUGCUGGGCCAUUUCUGACGCUGAGGAGCGAAAGCUAGGGGAGCGAACGGGAUUAGAUACCCCGGUAGUCCUAGCCGUAAACGAUGGAUACUAGGUGUCAGCGGUAUCGACCCCGCUGGUGCCGUAGCUAACGCGAUAAGUAUCCCGCCUGGGGAGUACGGCCGCAAGGUUGAA
rnacentral:rRNA from 1 species